rnacentral:rRNA from 1 species
CAAUAGCGUAUAUUAAAGUUGUUGUGGUUAAAAAGCUCGUAGUUGGAUCUCGGCGGACUGAGGGCGGUUUGCUUGCUAGUAUUACUGCCCUAUAGUCCGUAGUUUUGCCAGAGGUUUCGAGGUGCUCUUAAUCGAGUGUCCCGGGAUGCUGGCAGGUUUACUUUGAAAAAAUUAGAGUGCUCAAAGCAGGCUAUUACGCCUGAAUAUUCGUGCAUGGAAUAAUAGAAUAGGAAGUCGUUUCUAUUUUGUUGGUUUUCGGAAAUCGACUUAAUGAUUAAUAGGGACAGUCGGGGGCAUUAGUACUUAACUGUCAGAGGUGAAAUUCUCGGAUUUGUUAAAGACUAACUUAUGCGAAAGCAUUUGCCAAGGAUGUUUUCAUUAAUCAAGAACGAAAGUUAGGGGAUCAAAGACGAUUAGAUACCG